GUCUCUAGCCCUCAGUGCAGUGUUUGAGAAAGUCUCUAGCCCUCAGUGCAGUGUUUGAGAAAGUCUCUAGCCUCAAUGCAGUGUUUCUCGACAAAUGUUUGAGAAAGUCUCUAGCCCUCAGUGCAGUGUUCGAGAAAUGUUUGAGAAUAUCUCUGGCCAUCAAUGCAUUGUUUGACAAAAGUUUGAAAAAGUCUCUAGCCCUCACAGAAGCUUUGGCUAGUGCCCUAUGCAUUAUAGUAAUCUACACUAUAGUUGAUAAUUUCCACUAGCCCAGGCCAUCAGUUCAGCAGCCGAGAUCGAGGGCUGGUGGAUUUGUUGAAUCCUGCCUGUGGUGUCUUCAAUGUUCUGAACACGAUUGAUGUCAAGAUAAGAUACAUUCCUUACUUUGUCUUAGUAGUGUGUAUUUCUGUGACAUCAUGACUACUGUAAGCUAGACUUGCAUUAAGAGAAUCCUGGCCAUUCACAAAUCAGUCGAAUGCUAAUUUGUAUACCAAGUGGCUACAACAUUUAGUCUUUGGCUAAUAACUUUCUUCAAGGAAAAAACCUAUAUAUCUGAAAAUUGGCUAAACCAAAAUGUGUUCCAGUAUGAGAUCUGGAGAAUUAUAUUUCAUAUGUUAUAAGUACACUGGAUUCUGAAUGAUACUCUGUUAUUCUAGGUGAUUGUGAAGGAACAGCUGUAACAGAUCAUUAACAUUGUAUCUUAUCACUGUCUGAAUAUCAGUGAUAUGUUUACUUCAAGAGAAUUGUGUUCAAAUUUGGACAUUUGAUUUAAAUUUUGUCUUAAUAUUGGAUUCAAGACUACACAUAUUUUGUAGGGAAAGUUCAGAACUUCAAAAACUAUUGUAAUGGUAUUGGAGAUGCCCAUACCGUUCUACUCUUCACACUCUUCGUGAAUUAAUUCACUUCAAUUCCAGAUACAAUUUGAAGAGGAUUGCUUUGUGCUUCGGAGUCCAGUUUUUACUUACAAAUUCUAGGACUGUUUAUUUUUUUAUGAAAUCCACAAUGUGACUCUUAUUAGCAACUUUAUGAUUACUUUUGAAGGGCAAUUCGUUACAGAUGACUGUACCAAUGCAUCAUCUGAAAAGGGCAGGAUUUAGUUAAUUUGGUAGAAUGCUCGCUUGGAUCACAGUAUCAAACCUCGGAGGAGGACCCAUUGGUUAUAUCAAAAGCCACGGUAUGUGCCAUCCUGUCUGUGAAAGUGUAUACGAAAGAUACCUUGUUGCUGUUGGACUGGAUGAUUCAUGUGAGAAUUAUCAAAUACUUGACAUCCAAUAACUAAUGAUUAAUUAAUCAGUGUGCUCUAGUGAUGUCAGUAAACGGAAAACAAAUUUUCAUCUGAAGGAGAUAAAGAGGUGCUAAGGGAAGAUCCAAUUUUUUUUUUUUAUUGGUGCAUUGUUUGAAAAAGGUUGAUGUUGGUGACACUUUUUAAAUAUUUUAUGGGACAUGUUUCUGUCUCUGGACUGACAUUUGCUGCAUUUUAUACAAAGUCAAAAAGGGGAGGCCUAAAGCCUACCCCCUAUAGCCACCACUGCACUUUAAAAACUGAUGCACUAAUAUUGGGCCGCCUUUGUAUGUUCUAAAGAUCCGUCCAUCUACACAUCUAUAUCCUUUUGUUUUAUUUGUUAUUGGUGCCUUAAAACAUUUGAAGUCUUAUGUUAUGGUUUAAACAAUAUGAGACUUCGAAUUGGAAAAAAUCAGCUUUUUAUGCACUAUAGUGACUAUUUCAUUGUUAUAUAAUUUACUAUUUGAAAGUGAUGCAUCAAUAUUGGAUAGUUUUAAUUUUAUUAUAUUCCGUACGGUAGGUUGAUUCAUCUGUAACCCUUUUCUUAAUUUAUUGCUUUGAAACAACAUAUUUUAAAAUGAGAAAGGUAGAUUUGUAAAUAUGGAAAUUUAAGUCAUUGAUGUGUUUUUUAAUUUCUUUUUAUACUCGCUUUCUUCUAACAAUACAUUAUCACCCUCACGUGUUGUAUGUAAUAUAAUUCUUAAAAGUAAAUUUACAUGGAAAGUCAUUGAAAUGUUUUUAAAUUUCUUUUUACUCACAUUAUUCUCAUAAUAAAAGAUCACCCUCCCAUUUCUUGUAUAUAAUAUAAUACAUUUCAGUAGCAGCAGACUUUGAAUUUGAGGAUUUGUUUUAGGCUUUCACCGGAAUCGUAUCCAUAGUCACAUAUUGAAUACAGAAGUGAAAUUAAACACUGGAGUUCUCCUGCAUCCUGAUAUAGAUACAUCGACUUGUUCCGAGGUACGCACCUCUGUAUUAAGGAACAUGAACUAAACUUGGCAGUAGCUUUAGAUUAAGCCAUCAAUCUUUACAUGUAUGUUACUAUGUUAUACUUACACACACAUUAAAAUUUGAUACCAACAAA